rnacentral:lncRNA from 1 species
CGACACCUGGCGAGUGCAGGGCACAAAUGACCAAAAUGCCCUUUUAUACAAAAUCCAGAUGAAAUUCAAGUCCAACUUCUGCCAAAAAUUUGGCAGAAGCUCCCCUGUAGGUUGAACAUUUCCGAUCGGGGCUCAAACGUUGUCCGAAUUGAGAUCCAUGAAUUCCUACACGCUCGUGAGGACCAAGAAAUCAUUUUAGGACUAAAUGUGACUUCACUAUGCUGCCCACGCGCUGGCAGCGUGUAGGUAGCUUGAUCAAUUUCUGACAAUUGGAAAUACUCCAAACCUCCUGCCCAAACUCCUAUUCUAGGUGUAACACCCCAUUUGGAACCACUUUU